rnacentral:rRNA from 1 species
AUUGAACGCUAGCGGGAUGCUUUACACAUGCAAGUCGAAAGAGUGGCGGACUGGUGCGUAAUAUAUCGGAAAGUGCACAGUAGCGGGGGAUAACUACUCGAAAGAGUGUCUAAUACCGCAUCAUAUUGGAGCGGCAGAUAUCGGAUUAGCUAGUUGGUGGGGAAAAGGCUAAAAAGGGCAACGAUCCGUAGCUGGUUUGAGAGGACGACCAGCAACACUGGGACUGAGAAACGGCCCAGACUCCUACGGGAGGCAGCAGUUGGGAAGUUUUGACAAUGGGGGAAACCCUGAUCCAGCCAUCCCGCGUGUAUGAGAAGGCCUUCGGGUUGUAAAGUACUUUUGGCAGAGAAGCGGUAUCUGCAGAAUAAGCACCGGCUAACUACGUGCCAGCAGCCGCGGUAAUUC